GGGGGCAACCCUGACGCAGCGACGCCGCGUGAGUGAUGGAGGCUUUUCGGAUCGUAAACCUCUGUUUUAUCGGGGAGCAAGCGUGAGAUGAGAAUUACCCCUGUGACUAGCACCGGCUAACUACGUGCCAGCAGCCGCGGUAAUACGUAGGUCCCGAGCGUUGUCCGGAUUUAUUGGGCGUAAAGCGAGCGCAGGCGGUUUGAUAAGUCUGAAGUUAAAGGCUGUGGCUCAACCAUAGUUCGCUUUGGAAACUGUCAAACUUGAGUGCAGAAGGGGAGAGUGGAAUUCCAUGUGUAGCGGUGAGAUGCGUAGAUAUAUGGAGGAACACC
rnacentral:rRNA from 1 species